UACGAAGGGGGCUAGCGUUGCUCGGAAUCACUGGCGUAAAGCGCACGUAGGCGGAUUGCUAAGUCAGGGUGAAAUCCUGGAGCUCAACUCCAGAACUGCCUUGAUACUGGCGACCUUGAGUCCGGAAGAGGAGAGUGGAAUUCCUGGUGUAGCGGUGAAAUGCGCAGAUAUCAGGAAGAACACCUAUGGCGAAGGCAGCUCUCUGGGACGGUACUGACGCUGAGACGCGAAAGCGUGGGAGCGAACAGG
rnacentral:rRNA from 1 species